rnacentral:rRNA from 1 species
UACGGGAGCAGCAGUGGGGAUCUUGCACAAUGGAGGAACUCUGAUGCAGCGAUGCCGCGUGAGUGAAGAAGGCCCUUGGGUUGUAAAGCUCUUUUGUCGGGAAAGAUAAUGACUGUACCCGAAGAAUAAGGUCCGGCUAACUUCGUGCCAGCAGCCGCGGUAAU